CUUGUGAUGCAUGUUCGAUAAUCUUGUGAUGUAUAUUCGAAAUCUUGUGAUGUGUGUUCUACAAUUCAGUGAUGCGUGCAAUAAAAUUGCAUGACGCAACAGAAAAGUAAGGACAAUUUUCAUUGGUUAGAAAUAACGAAAGUAGCUGAAGCGUCGGGAAAACCAUGCAGGUGAGAAAAAACACAUCAGUUUGUUUAUUGCAGCACUAAUUACGAGAUGCACGAGUGUUGUUCCUGGUGACAUGAUGGAGAUAUUUCGGCCUGCUAGGGAAAAAACUCAGUAAACGUAGAUGUAUUGACAAAAUUUGUAGAUGAGCUGAUCGCCAACCAGGAGAUCAGAAUGAUCGCAUCUGCUCCUGCCACUUUAAGGAUGGUAAGAAGGAGGGGGACCCUGCAUAUUUUGCAUGGAAUGAAGGAAAGGCCAUGGAUUUCUCUGAUCCUGAAUGUACAAAAAGGAGGAAAAAACUCAAAAGUGAGGAGUCCCUGUCAUCUUCACAGAUGGACCAGUUGCAGAUUCAACAAGCACCAAAAUGUCAAUAUCAAGAAAAAUUGAUAUCAGAGCACAACUACUCAGCAUCCUGCACAUUUAACUGUACUCAAGAAAUGCAGCGCCUCUCAACAGAAAUACAACUGGAAAAGGAAUUGCUUGCCCUAAAAAUAGAGUCUAGUAAAAGGAAGCCAAUAUCAAUCCACGAUAUUAAAUACAAUGAAGAGAAGGUCUCUGAUCAGCAGGGGCAUUUUCUCUAUAUAUAAGAAGAAAAUGGAGACUCCCUACCCACCCGAUGUAUUUUGUCGGACAGUUUUCUGUACAUUGCAGUCACCAAUAUAUCCAAAUAUCAUCACCGGCCCAGACGUCAUUCACUCCUUUGAAUUGUGCUGGUAGCAGUAAGGUGA